UACGUAGGGGGCAAGCGUUGUCCGGAUUUAUUGGGCGUAAAGAGCGUGUAGGCGGCUUUACAGGUCCGUUGUGAAAACUCGAGGCUCAACCUCGAGACGCCGGUGGAAACCGUAAGGCUAGAGUCCGGAAGAGGAGAGUGGAAUUCCUGGUGUAGCGGUGAAAUGCGCAGAUAUCAGGAAGAACACCCGUGGCGAAGGCGGCUCUCUGGGACGGUACUGACGCUGAGGCGCGAAAGCGUGGGGAGCAAACGGG
rnacentral:rRNA from 1 species